rnacentral:SRP_RNA from 1 species
GCUGGGCACAGUGGCACACACCUGUAGUCUCAGCUACUUGGGAGGCUGAGGCUAGAGGAUUGGUUGAGCCCAGGAGUACUGGGCUAUAGUGUGCUAUGCCAAUCAGGUAUCUUCACUAAGUUCAGCAUCAAUAUGGUGACCUUCCAGGAGUAGGGGGCCACCAGGUUGCCUAAGGAGGGGUGAACUGACCCAGAUCAGAAAUAGAGCAGAUCAAGAUACAUUUGAGAAUACCAGUUUUAAACACUACUUCAAGCUAUGGCAUUUGAAGUAAUCUCAU